GACGAACGCUGGCGGCGUGCUUAACACAUGCAAGUCGAACGAAGUGGCGAACGGGUGAGUAACGCGUAGUCAACUUGCCCUUCAGAGGGGGACAACAGUUGGAAAAUACUGUUCAUACCGCAUACUGAUGAAGGGGAUUGCGUCUGACUAGCGAGUUGGGGGGGUAACGGCCUACCAAGGCGAUGAUCAGUAGCCGGUCUGAGAGGGUUGACGGCCACAUUUGGACUGAGACACGGCCCAGAAUCCUACGGUAGUCAGCGUUGGGGAAUCUUCCGCAAUGGACGAAAGUCGUACGGAGCAACGCCGCGUGAGUUAUGACGGCCUUCGGGUUGUAAAGCUCUUUUAAUCGGGACGCGGUACCGGAAUAGAAAGCCACGGCUAACUACGUGCCAGCAGCCGCGGUAAUUC
rnacentral:rRNA from 1 species